rnacentral:rRNA from 1 species
AUUGCCCUAGUAACGGCGAGUGAAGCGGCAACAGCUCAAAUUUGAAAUCUGGCUCUUUCAGGGUCCGAGUUGUAAUUUGCAGAGGGCGCUUUGGCUUUGGCAGCGGUCCAAGUUCCUUGGAACAGGACGUCACAGAGGGUGAGAAUCCCGUACGUGGUCGCUAGCUAUUGCCGUGUAAAGCCCCUUCGACGAGUCGAGUUGUUUGGGAAUGCAGCUCUAAAUGGGAGGUAAAUUUCUUCUAAAGCUAAAUACUGGCCAGAGACCGAUAGCGCACAAGUAGAGUGAUCGAAAGAUGAAAAGCACUUUGGAAAGAGAGUCAAACAGCACGUGAAAUUGUUGAAAGGGAAGCGCUUGCAGCCAGACUUGCUUGCAGUUGCUCAUCCGGGCUUUUGCCCGGUGCACUCUUCUGCAGGCAGGCCAGCAUCAGUUUGGGCGGUGGGAUAAAGGUCUCUGUCACGUACCUCUCUUCGGGGAGGCCUUAUAGGGGAGACGACAUACCACCAGCCUGGACUGAGGUCCGCGCAUUCGCUAGGAUGCUGGCGUAAUGGCUGUAAGCGGCCCGUCUUGAAACACGGACCAAGGAGUCUAACAUCUAUGCGAGUGUUUGGGUGUCAAGCCCGAACGCGUAAUGAAAGUGAACGGAGGUGGGAACCCGCAAGGGUGCACCAUCGACCGAUCCUGAUGUCUUCGGAAGGAUUUGAGUAAGAGCAUGGCUGUUGGGACCCGAAAGAUGGUGAACUAUGCUUGAAUAGGGUGAAGCCAGAGGAAACUCUGGUGGAGGCUCGCAGCGGUUCUGACGUGCAAAUCGAUCGUCAAAUUUGGGCAUAGGGGCGAAAGACUAAUCGAAUAUCUAGUA